rnacentral:rRNA from 1 species
GACGAACGCUGGCGGCGUGCCUAAUACAUGCAAGUCGAACGAGAGCGACCGGUGCUUGCACUGGUCAAUCUAGUGGCGAACGGGUGAGUAACACGUGGGUAACCUGCCCAUCAGAGGGGGAUAACAUCCGGAAACGGAUGCUAAAACCGCAUAGGUCUUCGAGCCGCAUGGCUUGAAGAGGAAAAGAGGCGCAAGCUUCUGCUGAUGGAUGGACCCGCGGUGCAUUAGCUAGUUGGUGAGGUAACGGCUCACCAAGGCCGUGAUGCAUAGCCGACCUGAGAGGGGGAUCGGCCACAUUGGGACUGAGACACGGCCAAAACUCCUACGGGAGGCAGCAGUAGGGAAUCUUCCGCAAUGGACGCAAGUCUGACGGAGCAACGCCGCGUGAGUGAAGAAGGUUUUCGGAUCGUAAAACUCUGUUGUUAGAGAAGAACAAGUGCUAGAGUAACUGUUAGCGCCUUGACGGUAUCUAACCAGAAAGCCACGGCUAACUACGUG